GGAGAUGAACUCACUCGCCCAACGGUUUAUGAAGUACUGAGGUAACAUUAUGUUUUGUUCUCAUUCAAAUGCAUGGUAUGCUUGAUAGUGAUAUAUGAGUCGUUCAUAUAAGCAAUGAUAGUCACAUGAAAAUAUUCGUUGUCAGGUUUUAUGUCUAUCUAAAUCAUAUGCUGCAGCUGCUCCAUCAAGACUUCUGUCAAGGAAAGAAAGUGGUCCAGACACUACUGAUUGAAGCAGGGUAUGCAAUGCCAACUUUCAAGAAAAGGCAACUUAACAACAACCAGUUUUGAGCAAUUAUGUUAGAGUUCUGCAAUAACAACAAGCAAUAGCUGGAAAAAAGAUGCAGUAACUAAGGCUCUAGAUUGGUUGUCGGAAGGGUAUCGUUAUGUUUUUCUGCAAACAUUGUAUAGAAAAUAACCUAUACUACACUCACGUAUAGAAAACUGUGUGGAUUAUAGUUAUUCAAUAUCCAUGUUUAUUUCAAUUA